rnacentral:rRNA from 1 species
CCCUUAGAUGUUCUGGGCCGCACGCGCGCUACACUGUUCGACGCAGCGAGUCUUAACCUUGACCGAAAGGUUUGGGUAAUCUUCAGCAAAGUCGAACGUGAUGGGGAUCGAUCAUUGCAAUUAUUGAUCGUGAACGAGGAAUUCCUAGUAAGUGCAAGUCAUCAGCUUGCGCUGAUUACGUCCCUGCCCUUUGUACACACCGCCCGUCGCUACUACCGAUUGAAUGGUUUAGUGAGAUAUCUGGAUUGACGCUGGCUAGGGGGCGACCCUUGGCCAGACUGUUGAGAAACUGCUCAAACUUGAUCAUUUAGAGGAAGUAAAAGUCGUAACA